rnacentral:rRNA from 1 species
ACGUAGGGGGCUAGCGUUGCUCGGAAUGACUGGGCGUAAAGGGCGCGUAGGCGGCUUGGCAAGUCAGUGGUGAAAGCCCGAGGCUCAACUUCGGGUCGGCCACUGAUACUGCUAGGCUUGAGUCGACUAGAGGCAGAUGGAAUUCCGGGUGUAGCGGUGGAAUGCGUAGAGAUCCGGAAGAACACCGGUGGCGAAGGCGGUCUGCUGGGGUCGAACUGACGCUGAGGCGCGACAGCGUGGGGAGCAAACAGGA